rnacentral:rRNA from 1 species
AGUCGACGAUGAACCUGGAGCUUGCUCUAGGGAAUUAGUGGCGAACGGGUGAGUAACACGUGAGUAACCUGCCCUUGACUCUGGGAUAACCUCCGGAAACGGAAGCUAAUACCGGAUACGACGCACGGAGGCAUCUCCUGUGCGUGGAAAGAACUUCGGUCAAGGAUGGACUCGCGGCCUAUCAGGUAGUUGGUGAGGUAACGGCUCACCAAGCCUACGACGGGUAGCCGGCCUGAGAGGGUGACCGGCCACACUGGGACUGAGACACGGCCCAGACUCCUACGGGAGGCAGCAGUGGGGAAUAUUGCACAAUGGGCGCAAGCCUGAUGCAGCAACGCCGCGUGAGGGAUGACGGCCUUCGGGUUGUAAACCUCUUUUAGUAGGGAAGAAGCGAAAGUGACGGUACCUGCAGAAAAAGCACCGGCUAACUACGUGCCAGCAGCCGCGGUAAUACGUAGGGUGCGAGCGUUGUCCGGAAUUAUUGGGCGUAAAGAGCUCGUAGGCGGUCUGUCGCGUCUGCUGUGAAAUCCCGAGGCUCAACCUCGGGCCUGCAGUGGGUACGGGCAGACUAGAGUGCGGUAGGGGAGAAUGGAAUUCCUGGUGUAGCGGUGGAAUGCGCAGAUAUCAGGAGGAACACCGAUGGCGAAGGA